AAGUAUAUACUAUUGAUUUCGACUCAAUGACAGGAACCCUCCAGUACUUA
rnacentral:tRNA from 1 species